UCCUACGGGAGGCAGCAGUAGGGAAUAUUGCACAAUGGGCGAAAGCCUGAUGCAGCAACGCCGCGUGCGCGAAGAAGGUCUUCGAAUCGUAAAGCGCUUUUCUGGGAGAUGAGAAAGGACAGUAUCCCAGGAAUAAGUCUCGGCUAACUACGUGCCAGCAGCCGCGGUAAUCACGUAGGAGGCGAGCGUUAUCCGGAUUCACUGGGC
rnacentral:rRNA from 1 species